AAUAUACUGGUGAUUCCUUAAAAUAUUAUUAAUUGAGUGCGGUUUUUGUUUUUACGUGAUAAACGUUUUAGUGAACAAGAAUAAUAAUUGACGACAAGAAAGGUGCUUGGAGAAUCGCGCAACAAACUCAUUCCAAGGGUGUUCGAUUUCGGUGUUAUUUUCUGCAACUUGAGCCGGCGGCUUGCGGUGGCUACUUGUUGCUUGCUGUCAGAGUUCUCGUUCCGUGAUUAGAAUGUUGCAUCAACAAUGUCCAAAGUGAUGAUUGGACAGAUUUCUAGAAGUGCAGAUUGGUGAAGCAAGCAGUUACGAAAAAUAGGCUGAGAAUUAGCUUGACAGUUUGUUAUCAGUGACGCAUGCAACAUGGAACCGUCUUACUCAUCCGGUCAGGGAGGGGCACCAGAAACUUCGAGUUCAUCCUCGACGUCUUCUGUUCCGUACCAAAUUCACAAUCUGGAAACCGUGGCAGAAGAGAAUGAAGAGUGCGCCGACAGUUCGACUCUGCCUCGCCGUGCUCCAUCGCCAGACACGAGUAGCGCAACGGUGCUGGUGCUAGGAAUGUCUCAGGCCACUCAAACCCCUGCGGAUGACUGCUAUCAGCCGAUGCAGCACCAAGGUCGGUCUAUCUACGAAGGUAUAAUCAAUCCGGGCGAUACGGCCGUGGAUGGUUCCCCGGUGUCUACCCGUGAUGCGGACGGAGGUGAGUUCGGUGGAUUUCUGGUGGGAUUUGUGAAUUGCAGAAAAUAGUGCUCAGCAUGAGAACGCUAUCAAGUGUCCGAGGGUGAUGAAGAGCUAUGAUAGUAGUAAAACAGUGAAUAUAUGUUUGUAUACAUCGUCGUCGUCAGCAGAAGAAACAGACGACGAAAAAAUGUGUAUGGAGAUGAUGGUUCUGGGAUAAAGAGAAAGAGAGAUACCGAAAAAGGAGUGGUGGCAGGAGUGAAGAUUUUGGAAGCUGAAUUUCUGAUGAAGUCUGGAGAUUUGUUUGAAGAAAUUAAGAUGAAAUCGUAAGUGAAGUAUAAUUAAUCCGUAUUAUGAAGAAGUAAACCGAAGAGCGGAAUUAUUACGAGGUGAUUGCAAAGCAAGACGAAGAAUCAUUUUAACGUAAAUACGGAAAAUUUGCUGUCAACAUAGUGUAGAGGAAUUAUGCGAAAAUUAUCAAGAUGUGAUGAAGUUCAAGUGUGCGAAAUGAUUGAAUCUCGAUAAAUGCAAUUGGGGUUUUUUGAAUAAAAGAUUCAAUUUUGUGUGAGUGCCGGAUCACAACCAGAAGCAAGUAUUAUUACAGAAGAAUUCCUGAGUAAAAUGAUUGUGAAGAGAUGGUGUUUCAUUCAUCACCCGAACGAUGAUGGUGGAAGCAGUAAGCAGCACUACUGAUCGACAGCAGCUGAAUUUAUUAUUGGAGUUGACGGCAAAGAAGGUGUAUGUGGAGUUCAGCAGUGGUGUUGUGAGGUUCGCGAUAAAUCGCAUACGCACACACGGACGGUCGAAGGAGUUGUAGCAGCCGAGAAAGACACAACACUGCAGUCGCCCGUUUCUUCGCUGGAGCCGCAUAAGCAUGUAAAUAUCAUCCAUAUUAAUUCACGAUGUUCUUAAUGG